rnacentral:rRNA from 1 species
UUGGCUCAGGAUGAACGCUGGCGGCAGGCUUAACACAUGCAAGUCGAGGGGUAACGCGAGGUAGCAAUACUUUGGCGACGACCGGCGCACGGGUGCGUAACGCGUAUGCAACCUACCUGUAACAGGGGUAUAACGGAGGGAAACUUCCACUAAUCCCCCAUAUUGUUGUGGUACCGCAUGAUAUUACAACGAAAGCUUCGGUGGUUACGGAUGGGCAUGCGUGACAUUAGCUAGUUGGUAAGGUAACGGCUUACCAAGGCGACGAUGUCUAGGGGAGCUGAGAGGCUUAUCCCCCACACUGGUACUGAGACACGGACCAGACUCCUACGGGAGGCAGCAGUGGGGAAUA